UACAGAGACUGCAAGCGUUAUUCGGAUUCAUUGGGCGUAAAGCGUCCGCAGGUGGCUAUGUAAGUCUGCUGUUAAAGAGUGAGGCUCAACCUCAUAAGAGCAGUGGAAACUACAUGGCUAGAGUGCGUUCGGGGCAGAGGGAAUUCCUGGUGUAGCGGUGAAAUGCGUAGAGAUCAGGAAGAACACCGGUGGCGAAAGCGCUCUGCUAGGUCGCAACUGACACUCAUGGACGAAAGCUAGGGGAGCGAAUGGG
rnacentral:rRNA from 1 species